rnacentral:lncRNA from 1 species
UACGAGUAUAUUACUAAAUAUGACAUUUUUAUCCAUAGAAAAAUUUAUAUUACAAAAAAACAUAAAUUUAAACGUAAAACAUUAUCUUCCUUCCAAUGACUCUAGCUGCAUCUCUAGCGUUUGUUGGGCUUCCUCGCCCGGAGGCCGGGGCUGCGAAAGUGAUCUACCUUGCGAAGAAGGCCGGAGAAGGAAACGGAGAGUAAAAAUGUCAUAAGAAAUCACAGGAAAGCAGUCUAGGGUAUUUCUUGCUCAUCGCUAUAAAAUUGCACUGCGAAAUCUCAUUGAUUUGGAUGGAUUUUGGCAUUCCCUUUCACUUUUUUUUCUGCCUUGCUCAAAAUUGGUAUGGUUUUCUAUUUGAUAUGGCUAUUUAAAUAGAUGAUAUUGUAGAAUCAAGCGUCUGAAUUGGAAUUGAUGGGCAUUGACGAGGAGGUAGAGAAAGUCAUGCACCACUCUGAUUUACAAUUACAUGUGCCUAUAAAUUCCUCUAAUCUUCAUUCCUCUACUUCAUUCCUCUAAUCUAUUAACUUUGUGCGUAAAAUUCUUUUGAAAACCAGGAACCAGCUGAUGCGGAUCGUCCGGCAUUUUCAUUUUGGUCCUUUAGCUUCUGGUGACAACUAUCGGUUUCUGAUGGUUACUUCUUCUUCCUC